UAUCCACUGACCACCUGACAGUGGUGAUGCCU
rnacentral:piRNA from 2 species